CGCCCUUCAGAGGGGGACAACAGUUGGAAACGACUGCUAAUACCGCAUACGAUCUAACCACGGCAUCGAGGAUAGAUGAAAGGUGGCCUCUACAUGUAAGCUAUCACUGAAGGAGGGGAUUGCGUCUGAUUAGCUAGUUGGAGGGGUAACGGCCCACCAAGGCGAUGAUCAGUAGCCGGUCUGAGAGGAUGAACGGCCACAUUGGGACUGAGACACGGCCCAG
rnacentral:rRNA from 1 species